GCUUUGCGGCAGAGGUGCUUUACGGCAGCAGGUUCUGGGCUGCGCCUGAGCAGCGAGUGGCCGCUUGGCCUCCAGAGACCUCCUCGCCGAGGCAUCAAAGGAAACAUGGCUAUUUGCUCUGCACCCUCCCACCCCCAUCAGGGGGCUAGCUGGUCACUCCAGUGCUCACCAGAAAAUCGUGGAGCUGAGUUUUCAGUAAAAUCCCCAGGAAGUACCCAGCUUCAAAAAUGCCCACAAACACAGACUUCCAGGGGGCCCUCCAUGCUGGAGAAUUCAUUGAGUGCAAGGAGAAGAGCAUUCUGAGGUGGGGGAGACUUUAUAGCUGGAGAAUCUGAGGCUGUCUUACUGAAGGACCCUGAGGCGGCAGUUGUUCAUGGCAUAAAACCCUCUUUAUCAUCAAAGCAACCGUCUACCUAUCUUGCUGACUGUGCACUCUGAGGUGGCCUCUGCCCCACCCCGCACACCUCAGCUGCAGGAAUCGAUUUCCUGAGAUGUCAAAAUAUGCCACUGAGCAGAACUCACAGAGUUUUUGCCUGUAGUGAGCAAUGCUGCUGUGAACAUUCUUGUUCAUGAGUCCUGGCACACACAUGAAUGGACUUCUCUAUACCUGAGAUUGGAUUUGCUGGCUUAUAUGAUCCCUGAGGCCUUCAGUCAACGGUGUAAUGUGAGAAGAGAAUGAAAUGAAACCCUGCCUGUGACUUCCCCGACAUUAACCGGAUGGAGAUCCUACAGUCUUUGAAGGGAAGAGAUGUCAUCCUGGAGUUCCUUCAGUCUUCCCUCAAGAAAAGUCUAGAGAAGCUGUACUGGAGCCAGACCCGAAGAAGCAAUGAGUGAGUCUCUGGCCCAGGAAUACCCAACAAAAUGCACUAGUCACAAACAAAUGUCAUGUUCGGCCCCUACUGAACUUGAGGAACUAUGUACACCUAACAUCAGUCAAGUCCAAGGUGAGUUCAUGCACUCCCGUGAGGCUGGGUGACUCUAAGGUCUUGGUAGCUGGAUGAGGAUUCUACCUGUGCUUCU